GGGUCGGUGUCGUUUUUCGAAAUUUGUUAACUUAAUAUAAUAGAAGAUGUUUCGUUUUAAAUUAAGAAAUGUUAAAAUUAUUAAGUUAAAAACAUUUGAUUUUAAUGACACUUAAAAUUAGACACAAUAUUAUAGGUUACUAAUUAAAAAUUGAAAAACAACAAUAAAUAAUAAAAAAUUGAAAAAAUCAAAAAAUUCUUAAAAAAUUGCAAAAUAACCCUUUUUCGGGUUAAAAUUGAAAAAAGAUGUUACAUAAAAAUAGUUUGUAAGAUUUUCUAACAGCAUAUAUGCAAAGUAUUUUGAUUUAUUUGAAAAUAAUUGAAAAUAGAUUUUUCAAGGACGGUGUCGAGGUCACGAGGUCGGUGUCGUUUUUCGAAAUUUGUUAACUUAAUAUAAUAGAAGAUGUUUCGUUUUAAAUUAAGAAAUGUUAAAAUUAUUAAGUUAAAAACAUUUGAUUUUAAUGACACUUAAAAUUAGACACAAUAUUAUAGGUUACUAACUAAAAAUUGAAAAAACAACAAUAAAUAAUAAAAAAUAAUAAUAAAAAAUUGAAAAAAUCAAAAAAUUCUUAAAAAAUUGAAAAAUAAACCUUUUUCGGGUUAAAAUUGAAAA